CAUAAAGUAAACAGUUCCGAUGUACCGGUACUGAGCAUUUCAGCAAGUUGAGUUCGAUGUUCUGAGCAUUUCAGCAAGUUGAGUUCGGACAGAAUACUUGAAAAGGGUAGAGUGGGAGAUCCUGUCUAGUAGACAAAGGACCAUGUCACCGUUUAUUCCUGUGUAUUGGACUGAAUCACAACAAAGGCUGCCAAUCUCCGCCCACCAUCUGUUACCGGCCUCAUUUGCAUACAGCUGUUACCCUCCUAAAGUCGGUGACAAAUGGCCUGAAGGCGACACAGGGGCACUCAAUUUUGAUGUAGUCUUGUUCUGUUGGAAAAAAGGAGUACCAGGAGAAAACCGCACCUGUUGUGUAUCGUUACCACCAAUCACACAAGCGCGAAGAACAGGGAUUGAUCCUGGGUUGCAUAAUGGUAAUAAACUGAAAUAAUGGUAGUUUACUCAACAAAUUUAAAAUCUCUAUUUUCAAAUAUUUUAUAUAACA